AGCUUGCUAUGGUAUAACUUAGUGGCAGACGGGUGAGUAAUGUAUAGGAAUCUACCUAGUAGUACGGAAUAAUUGUUGGAAACGGCAACUAAUACCGUAUACGCCCUACGGGGGAAAAUUUAUUGCUAUUAGAUGAGCCUAUAUUAGAUUAGCUAGUUGGUGGAGUAAUAGCCUACCAAGGCAAUGAUCUAUAGCUGAUCUGAGAGGAUGAUCAGCCACACUGGAACUGAGAUACGGUCCAG
rnacentral:rRNA from 1 species